rnacentral:lncRNA from 1 species
CGCUCCUUGAUGUGGGAGCUCACCUCUUUAACUGAACCUUCUAGUCUCAGUACAGGGCUGUGAAGAAACAGAAUCUGCCCCUUAGGGCGGUCUCAGGAUGACAGCAAAAAACCCAGCAUUGCCUAUGAAUCCAGAAGGACUUCUUUGUGAGCAUUUCUCAGACAAUUCCUUGGGGCUUUCAGGAGCCAGAACUCCCUACUAAUGCUUUCAUCUCUGUGGAAAAGAAAACUGAAAAUCAAACCAGUUAAGCGCUUUCUCCAAAAGUCUCAAAAGUGGGGUUACAGCUGGUAUGUACACACAGGUCAGUCUGACACCCUAGCUAGAAAUGCUCUUUCCUAUACUCCAUUGGGUUUCAAAUGAAAUGUAUCAGUAAAGUGUAAAUGCUACACUUAGUUGAAGAAACCCAAUG